ensembl:lncRNA
CAUACGCAUAGAUAGAUGAGUUCAAACUGUCACCACCAGUUGAAUUAAGCGUGUUUUUGUUUUGUGUUUGCUUUAAUUGCGUCCAUGUGAAGGUACUGCAAAUACUUCUAAAAAUGAAAAUAUUGAUAUACACUUGCCCAUAGGCUCCAGUGUGAGAACAGCACAGUUAUGAACUAAGUAGACCUACUUUAGGCAGCCAUCGUGAACGCCUGACUACCUCCAUCUGCUGGUGACUUUUAGAACAGCAGCAGAUAAAUAAACUGUGUAUAUCUAAGGUGAAAGUGAAACCAUUCUUCAGUGCGUCGCUUCCUGUUCCGAGUAGCUCAUCGUAAUGGCAUGCCCGAGAAACAACAAAGUAGAGAGUGUUGAAACAUCUAAUCCAGUCAAGCAGAAGCUGAAGAAAUUCUACCCGAUCGUGGCAGGGAAUACAAAAGACUGCCAUAAAAAAGUUGUCAAGAAACUUAAGAAAUAUGGAGCGAAGAAAGUGGACAGCGCUGAGAGAAGUGAAGUGGUGUUGAUCUUCUGUCCCAUCGUCAGUCGUUUUGAAUCGGACAUAAACGCUGCUCUGAGUGAACUCCAACUCAACGAAUGUACCAGGUCACCGAAACUCAUCAUGGUGGCCAUGCAUCACACACACAAGGCCGAUUACACCGUACCGCCCAAAAGAAAGCACAGCCACAACGGACAGGACGUCCCGGUGGCGCACUGUCUCUUUCACGAGACCAAGGGCCUCCUUCAGUGUCCGGCCAACAAGCAGGCUGUCAAAGCUAUCCGGAAAGAAGUAAGUCUAAGCAAAUCCUAAUCAGUUUGUUUAGAGUAGGAUAAACUUAACUUAAAACAGUGUUUAUUUUCAAGAGUUAAAUAGGCUUAACUACAAUUAACCAUCAAUAUAAACAAACAAAUAAAAUAAACAAAUAAAUAAAUAAAUAACUAUAUAAAUAUGUGUACUGUAUUGUGCUCUCACUUAAACUGUCAAAGUGUGGGAACUGGAAUUUAAACACCCCGUAACAUGUCACCCAAUAAGAAGAACUUUAUUCAUGUAGCACCUGUAGCUGUCGUAACUACACACCUCUGCACCAACGGUCCCUCUGACCACUACCAUGCAUUCACACACAUCAUUUAUCCUGGCCUAUUGUACAUGUUUUUAGUUGUAGAGGAAACUGGAGCACCCAGAGGAAACCUACGCAAGCACAGGGAGACCAUGCAAACUCCACAUACUAAGACCCCAGGUGGGAAUCAGACCCCGACCUUCUAGCUGUGAAGCACGAGCGCUAACCGCUGCGCUAAUGCCGCCCAAAUAAGUAGAAUAAAAUAGAAUUAGGUUACAGAUGGUUUAAUUGGUGAAAAAUACCUAAAAAAAUAAUGAACUGAAUCUGUAAUCUAGUGAAUUUAAGGUUAUUUGAUGUUUUAGGUUUACAUGAACAUGAACACAGGCAUGAGGUAUGUUUCAUUAUCUGUUCUGUGUUUUUGUUUGUACCUACCUUGCCUACCUGCAAAGACAAAUUUCUCCAUAAGGAGAAUAUGAAAAAUAUUAUAUUCUGUUACUGUAACUACAGUAUGCUGUAAUGUAAGCAAAGUUCCAACUCGUCUCCAUGGAGAUGCUACGUCAAGGGAAAUUACUUUAAAAUAUUGUAAAUGUCAGUCGAUUUAAGUGAUUUAUGAAUUUACUAGUUAUAUAAAAAGAACAUGUAGACAUUUGCAAACAACAUUAAAGCUGCAGUUCUGUUUGGUUCGAGUUUGACAGUUUUCUCUUUUUACAGAUGGGGAUCAAAAAGUAUCGACAUCGAUUCUUUUAAUUUGUUGACACAUCUGCGAAAUCAUUCAAGACAACUUCAGUCAAGACUGAAGAAGAUGAAUUUGAAAAAGGUGCCAAUAUUUGUCAAAUGUGGCUCAUAGCCCUUACCACUUUGUCUCAGGCUCACCAGGCUAAGAUGAUACUUUAAAGGCCCUAUACCUGUAUACCUUUUUUAUUUAUUACAAUGAAAGUUUAGACUUAUAUUAGUAGACUGUCACUCCUCCCCAUUUACGCCAUUGGUCCCAACGUUCCUACCCCAUUUCUAACAUCCCAGUUAUUCACAGGAAUGAGCUUAAAAACACAUUUCACAACUUUCAUUGUCACUGUCACAGUAAUGCUAACAAAAACAUCCAGUCUUGUUUUUCACAAACCGCUGACUGCAUAUUCAAAUACUGAAGGAGGACAAUUACAGGGCCUUUAAGUGGUAGCUGUUGAAAUGUUUAAAUUUGCAGAAACAGAAAGCAAUGGUCUAAGCUUAAAAGCAAUAGUGUAAACUUUGGACAGCCUGUUCACAAGAAGUUAUGUUCUGAUCCAUUUCUGCAUAAUGUAGAAAUGGAUUAUUUUCAGUUGCCAAUUUGCUUUAUAAUAGAGAGUCCUUCACACUUCUCAAGACUUGCUGUAUUGUACUGAUAGCUUUGUUAAGCAUUCACAGAUCUUAUUUAAUUUUGUGCGCCGCAGAAUGUAGUGUUAGCUUCAAUAGAUUCACUGUCACAUAACGCUGUUGUGUCUUUUGCCUUUCUGUCUGCAUGUCUGGAAUUAAGAUGCAGUUAAUGCAGUUCUGUGCUCGCUCUAAUGACGUCAUCCAUCUCUGCUGUGUUUGUACCAGAACCUUCAACAGUCUUUACCUCUAAACACCUUCUAACCAACUCCUCCAGUCCGGUAACCCCCCUGGCUUAUUAGACUCUGUUUCUGUAAUGAUAUGCAAUAAUAUACAAACAACACACUGUAUACUUGUCAUACUUGUGCUUCCCUUCUAUUAAACGUUGCACUGUUGCUCUGACUGCAUGCACUUCACUCCGCUGCUCACAAGAUGGCACCUGAAGAUGACAUUUCAUCACAUAGAGGCCUUGUACUGUAGUGAGUACUGUACUUGCACUGUACAUGUUCUGAUAUGUAAGGCUUUGUAAAUAAAUACGGCUGAAAAACGUG